UGGGGAAUAUUGCACAAUGGGCGCAAGCCUGAUGCAGCCAUGCCGCGUGUGUGAAGAAGGCCUUCGGGUUGUAAAGCACUUUCAGCGGGGAGGAAGGCGAUAAGGUUAAUAACCUUGUCGAUUGACGUUACCCGCAGAAGAAGCACCGGCUAACUCCGUGCCAGCAGCCGCGGUAAUACGGAGGGUGCAAGCGUUAAUCGGAAUUACUGGGCGUAAAGCGCACGCAGGCGGUUUGUUAAGUCAGAUGUGAAAUCCCCGGGCUCAACCUGGGAACUGCAUCUGAUACUGGCAAGCUUGAGUCUCGUAGAGGGGGGUAGAAUUCCAGGUGUAGCGGUGAAAUGCGUAGAGAUGUGGAGGAAUACCGGUGGCGAAGGCGGCCCCCUGGACAAAGACUGACGCUCAGGUGCGAAAGCGUGGGGAGCAAACGGG
rnacentral:rRNA from 1 species